AGAGUUUGAUCCUGAGCUCAGGGAUGGAACGCUAGCGUACAGGCUUAACACAUGCAAGUCGCGGGGCAGCAUUCACUUAGCUUGCUUAAGUGAGAUGGCGACCGGCGCACGGGUGAGUAACGCAGUAUCCAACCUGCCCUUGCCCACGGGAUAACCCGGUGAAAACCGGCCUAAUACCGUAUGAGGUCACAAGCGGGCAUCCAACUGUGACGAAAGGUUUUGCGGACAAGGAUGGGGAUGCGUCCGAUUAGCUUGACGGCGGGGUAACGGCCCACCGUGGCUACGAUCGGUAGGGGUUCUGAGAGGAAGGUCCCCCACAUUGGAACUGAGGCACGGUCCAAACUCCUACGGGAGGCAGCAGUGAGGAAUAUUUGGUCAAUGGACGGGAGUCUGAACCAGCCAAGUAGCGUGCAGGAUGACGGCCCUAUGGGUUGUAAACUGCUUUUGUGCGGGGAUAAAGUGUGGGACGUGUCCCAUAUUGCAGGUACCGCAUGAAUAAGGACCGGCUAAUUCCGUGCCAGCAGCCGCGGUAAUACGGAAGGUCCGGGCGUUAUCCGGAUUUAUUGGGUUUAAAGGGAGCGUAGGCCGGAGAUUAAGCGUGUUGUGAAAUGCCGCGGCUCAACCGUGGCACUGCAGCGCGAACUGGUUUUCUUGAGUGCGCGCGACGCAGGCGGAAUUCGUGGUGUAGCGGUGAAAUGCUUAGAUAUCACGAGGAACCCCGAUUGCGAAGGCAGCUUGCGGGAUGUCGUCUAACUGACGCUGAAGCUCGAAGGUGCGGGUAUCGAACAGGAUUAGAUACCCUGGUAGUCCGCACGGUAAACGAUGGAUGCCCGCUGUUCCGUUAUAUGAUGGAGUGGCCAAGCGAAAGCGUUAAGCAUCCCACCUGGGGAG
rnacentral:rRNA from 1 species